UAGGGUAGCGGUGUGUAUUAAGUGCCCCCAUCCCAACCUCGGUAUCCUAACGGUGCAGGUACGUAUCCUUGUUCUUUAAAUGAGGACUAGUAUGAACGGCAUCACAAAGGUUGCACUGUCUCCCCUUUUUAAUCAUUGAAACUAAUCUUCCCGUGAAGAAGCGGGAAUGCUUUAAUAAGACGAGAAGACCCUAUGGAGCUUUAAACGAUUUGACACUUGCUGUCAUUUUACUCCUCUCAGGAACCUCACAAAAACACAGCACGAUGAUCACAAGUUUUCGAUUGGGGUGAUCACGGAGUAAAGACUAACCUCCACGCCAAAUGAGCUCAGCCUCUGAGCUGUAAGCCACAACUUUACGCACUAAAAAAUUAAUGUCUCUUGACCCAAUAAUUUGAUCAACGAACCGAGUUACCCUAGGGAUAACAGCGCAAUCCACUUCAAGAGCCCCUAUCGACAAGUGGGUUUACGACCUCGAUGUUGGAUCAGGGUGUCCAAGUGUGAGCCCCUUAUAUGGUUCGUUUGUUCAACGAUUAAAACCCUACGUGACGACUUAAACAAAGAUCCUGAAGAUAGUGAGUGCCGGAUCUCACCUAUUAUACGAGAGUUACGGGAGGCGACCACCCACCCCUCCAUAUUCUUUUUCCUGACUUUUUUAGACAACCACACACACUCAAAAAUGAGGAGAGGAGGAUAA
rnacentral:rRNA from 1 species